AUUCUGGGUAGGAAACUCAAACAUCCGGCGUGAUCGCUGAUCGGUUGAAAUGAGAAAACAUCGGAGAGUGUGAUUUAUGAUCAUCGAGCAAGGGAUGAAGAAAGUCAGUAAGCCCAUCACUGAAAAUCAUCAUCAGACGAUGACCAAACAAAUGCUGUCUUUGAAUACGGAUUUGAUGGCUUCUUCACUUUCUUUGUCUGUGGGUUCUUUUCAGCGAAGCCCUGGGGAUGGCAGACUUUAUCCGUUCGCAUUCGCUUAGAAGAAUCUGGAAAAAGGAACCAUGAAAAUUUGAGUUCAUAUACAAAAGUGAAAAAACAAGUGCAUUUUCCCGUUGAUUCUGCUUUGGAGCCGGAUGGUUCAUCUGUCUUACACUUGGAUGCAGUUGCUGCUAUAUGAAAAUAAUCCAGAGCCUGAGGAUGUAGCGGUGGACGUGGUACAGGUAGUGGUAGUGGUUCUUAUUGACUUAGAAGCCAUGGGUGGAGCUAAUGUUAUGGAAAAAAUGGGUACUUCAGAUGGACCUGUCUCACCUAAGUAUUGGACAUCACCUGAAACGAAGACAGAAAAUUAAUAAUUUCCAUGGAUGGAUUGGCACAGAUGGUCUUGUCAGCAUCUACUUCAUCCUCACUGGAGACAAACAUUUCCAUCAUAUCAAUGGCUCUCUCAACCGAACUCUUUACUUGUCCCUUUCGCACUGCAACUUCACCACUAGA